GACGAACGCUGGCGGCGCGCUUAACACAUGCAAGUCGAGCGAGAACCUGGGCUUCGGCCCUGGGGACAGCGGCGAACGGGUGAGUAACACGUGGGUAAUCUGCCCUUGACAUCGGGAUAGCCCGGGGAAACCCGGAUUAAUACCGACUAGCCUCCGGAGCCUUCGGGCGCCGGAGAAAAGGUAGCCUCGGCCUCUGGUCAAGGAUGAGCCCGGGGCGGAUUAGCUUGUUGGCGGGGUAACGGCCCACCAAGGCGACGAUCCGUAGCUGGUCUGAGAGGACGAUCAGCCACACUGGGACUGAGACACGGCCCAGACUCCUACGGGAGGCAGCAGUGGGGAAUCUUGCGCCAAUGCGGGAAACCGUGACGCAGCGACGCCGCGUGGGGGAAGAAGGCCUACGGGUUGUAAACCUCUUUCAGGAGGGACGAAGCCACUCGGGUUAAUAGCCCAGAGGGUGACGGUACCUCCAGAAGAAGCCCCGGCUAACUACGUGCCAGCAGCCGCAGUUAAAA
rnacentral:rRNA from 1 species